CCCCUCGCCCGCGGACGGCUACGCGGCUUCUCCAGUGUAGCAGACAGAGAGGCUCGCGCGGUCGCGGCGUACGAACGCUGCUGUACCGAAACGUUCUACGCGUUCGCACCGUUCCGCCGGCUUUGUGAUUACACGUUGUGCCACUAAUAAAUUGUGAAGUGUCCGAACUUUAAGUUUUAGACGUGAGCCGUGUGUAUCAACCCUAGACUUCGACUUUCCUUAGUGAAAGAUACUUUCUGUGAAGUGCAAGUUCCGCGAAGUUGUUCGUUCUCUAGUGUUACCUAUAGUUUGUAAAGUGACAAAAACUAGUAUUCUGUAAUAGUGAUUAACGUUUGCAUUAUUCAUUGCUAGUAAAAGUGGAUAUCGACCCUUAUUUUAAACAAGUUCAAACUUUCGUCAGUCUCUUUGUCUGAGUAAGAAGUUUUUGGAAGCAGAAAAUUUGAUGACCACAAAUUUACAGAUGCGAGUUACGAGUGCAGUUUAAAAAUGUCAUAAGGUUCUAAUUGGCAAUGAGAGGAUGAGCCAUGGAAUCACGAAGCGCGCCGCCAAGCCCCGACGAGCCGGGGGAGGCGGUGUACGACUCUCGUUGCGGACGUUAUCCGACUCCUUCACUGCAAAGAACUUUUGCAAGUUGUCGAGAAACGACGCGACCUCGACCACAUCAUCGCCACGUUGCUUCAGAACCAGCACGGCCAGACGACCGUGUUCUUACUACUGCCGAGGUUCACGACUACCCUUCAUCCGAAUCAGGUAUCGCAGCCGACUGCCCACAUCCACAUACCAGCAACGCUGACGAUAGUCCUUCUUAUGACAGAUCUGACUAUGAAGGUAAUUCUAGUUAUAGUCUGAGACGUACAUCAGAUUACCAUCAUACUAUUGAUUGUAAGCAUCGACCUGUGGACUAUAAUCGUAGUCAUACACCAGAUUAUAAUCAUGGACACGGAUCAGAUUGUGAUCGACCCUAUCCAAGAUCUCAAACUUCCCGCCGACCCCACAGAAAACAUAGACGAGACGAAGAUGACGGAGCACAAUCGCUUGAUGAAAGAUGUGCUCGAGACUUGGAUGAAAUUUUACCGGCUAGACUCGCUGCUGUCAAUUUAUCCAGAGAACCACCCCCACAGACAUGGAAUCGAAGCAAUAUCGCAGCGACUAUGGAAAGAUUUGAACCUGUUGAUUAUUCGUACGCCUAUUAUGAUCAUCAUUUAUCAAUGCCAUCUUCGUCAAGAAAAACGAACCGCCAACGAGGACGCGGUGGUAUCCCUAAAGAUCGAUCUGCUCGUCACAAUUACGUUACGAGAUAUGGAACUGAAGAAAAUAUCUAUGAAGAGAUUACAGAUGGCUCAAGAACUUGUCCAAAACAUAGAUAUGUUCCUAGACAAUCAUUGGUAUCACUUGAUAGAAGUGUAGUCGAAGAAGAAGUACGGCGAGUAGAGUCAAGGCAUAAACGAAUUUUAGGGGAAUUAAACCUUAGCGUAGAAGCCAUGUUAAUGCCAGAAUGUGAGUCACCAGAUUCUGAACGUGCGGAAGAUAGAGAUAAUAUAGAGGAAUUACUUCGAGUAGGACCAACUGAUGAAUUAUUAUCACCAGCUAGUUGCAAUCCUCCUGACCUAGAUAGUGGUUUUAGUGGUAGCAGCAGUGGAGCCAGUUAUGUGGGUAGUUUACGACGAAAACCGACGGGUUCAGUGCCUCAUUUACCUGCCGUAGCAUAUGGAACACGUGGUGCUGGGGUACGCAUACUCGGUGCAGAAGAUUGUGGCCUCCGAUGUCCUAAAGAUAUCCCUUCCCCACGCAGUUCAAGUUGCGGUGAUGCAAAAACCAGUGGAUUUUGGAAUAAAAAAGCUUGGAAGAAAAUAUCAGGCUUUUCGAGCUCAAAUAGCAUCAACAAAGCUGGACUUACUGGUCUGCUCGUUAGGUACACUUUCCGGCGUAAGUCCGGCUCGCAGGGCUCUCAGGGCAAGCGGCGUGCCGAGCCCGUCAAAUGCGAUGCGUGCCUCUCACAACGAUGUUAGCCGCUCUAUUUAUGAUGAAGCCUGUAGGCCAAGCAGAGCUAAAUCCAGAACAACUACUAUACCAUACAGCUACUCCAACGGAAAACUGGUGGUGCCGCUGGAUUCCCUAGCACAGAGCUGAGGGGCCGAGUCCCCUUGCCAUACCCGCUUCUAACUCUUUUGAGGGGCUUCUCAAUUCAAAGGGGCAAAGCUGAAUGCAAAAAGUGACUUAAUAUAAACAGAAACGUUUAAUAUUAAAUUUGUUGCUGAACAGUUUUGUCGAAAACAUUCCAAAUAUCUUAAAUUGACACCCAAAAACGUCUCAAAGACAAACGGUGUGCCAACCAGUGUAAAAGACAUUCAAAAUGUAUGAUAAAAACUAGGCGUGUAUACGGUGAAGUGAUAGAAAAGCCUAAUUAAUUAUUUGUAUUGUUAUGACAAACGUUUCAUAGAAACGCAAUGAUAACGUUGUUGUUACUUAUCAAUUUUUAGUAGAUAAUAGGUACAUGAAAAGGCUGACGCAGUUGAAUCAGAUUUUGUACAUGACAAACGAUGCUGCCAUUUUAUCUAUUUGUAGUAAUUCUUUGUGACAAUUUUGAUAUUCAAUUAUUACUUGUGCUGUAAAAAAUAAAUAGUUAUUUAAAAUUCUAUAUAAUUUUAUCUGAAUGCCUGAAAUUAAUUUUAAAUGUAACUUUGAAUAUUGUGGUCAAACAAUUUAAACAUAAUUUAACCAAGGCACAAAAUAGUAAUUCGUAAUUAUUAAAGAAUUUGUAAAAUGGUGAUAGUAAUAAAAAUAUUAUUGUGCCUGAAGCAUUACAUGUUUUUGUUUCAAAGAAAUAAUUUACUCGAUAAAUUUCUACUGCCUGCGGAGAAAAAUAAAGUAAUUAUCAUUUACUUAUAUAUUAACUUCUUUUGUAUAAAUAUCCUGUAGUUAAUUUAUUCAAAUACGAAAUAUAUAUUAUAUAGAUGGUCCAACCUAUUUAUUUUUAAUACCUAUCGAAAUGUGUAAAAAAAUUUUGUUUUAUAAAUAUAAAAUAAAAAUGUUAUUCGCCGAAGAUAAUUGUCAUUGUUAAUAAUUGUUAGUAUAUAUAUGUGUAUAUUUUGUAAAUAUCUAAGAAAAAAACAUGGUGCACCUUUUUUAAGUUACAAUUAUGUACAUAGAUACGUGUUAAUAGUCACUUUCGAUUUUACUUUAAGGAUAUUUUCGCAUAUUGUAAAACAUUAUAAAAUAUAUAACUAUUUCCAAUUGUAAACAAAAUUAGUUGAUCUUCUGACAAGCUUUUCAAAUUAUUAAAAAAUACAGCUUUAAUUAUACAGAUAGCAACUUGUUCUCCAUGGUUAUGUUACAAAUACUGUUUUAUGUUCUGAUGAAUAAAAAGGAUAGAAAUUAAAAAAUGUAAAAUUACAAACAAUAAUUCGACACAGCAAUCGUAGGUACAAUGAAUAAUUAUAUCGCAGUACUCAGAGUUCUUACAUUUUAUUUCAAUAUGAGACUAAAUUAACAAAGACAUAGUUUAAUGUGAAAUAUGAAAUGUAUAAUCUCGGUUUUUAUUAUUUUAUGUGUAACUUAAGUUGAUUAAUAUCUACUCUUCGUGUUAAAAAAAAUGGAUAAAACAGAACUCUGGAAGUAAGGAUUUUUUAAACUAAGAAAUAUCUAUGUAACUUUUUAAAUGUCCACUACCAAAUACAUAAUACUAAAGGGGGUUGGAGUUGUGGCUCCUUAACACAGAUUAUUAUAUUAGCUUAUUUAGGAGCCCAGUUCUAAAACCACAACUACUGUACCCAGUGAAAAUUAUAAUACUAAUGUUAGUAUUUGUGAAAAUACAGUUAUUUUUUUACGAAAUAAAAUUUUCAAAUAGAAGUAGUAAUGGCAAAAAACUCGAUUAUGAUGUUAUUUUAUUAUCAGCAUCCAAUAGUUUAGUUCCACAAAAAAACGGACUCAAUCAUGGCAAAAUCAGUUAUUUGGAUAUUUUUUUUUAUUUACAAGGUACACAGGAAUCUCAGGAGUACUACUCCUGAGUACUAUUCCUGUGUACCUUAUCCCAAGCGUUACUACUCCUGAGUCCUCAGGAAUAGUAACGCCUAGGAGAAUGGUACCGCUCAUGUCUAUAGGCGACGGUUACCAUUUACCAUCAGUUGGAAAUUCCGCCAGUUUAUUUGCCAUUCUAAGUUGUAUAAAAAAAAAUGCGGACAAAGUCGUGAGUAGACACUAUAAUAUACCUACGUUUAAUAUUGAGUAAUUAUAAUAUACUCGUACCUACGUUUUCUGUGUCGAUAAACGGACCUACAUUUAAUUAUUUCAUAUUUUCUUAUUAUAUUUUCAAUUUUUAUAAUUUAUGAAAACCGAAAACAAUUGUCUUAUAAUUUGUAUAAAAUAUUUUUUUUGUAAUGUAUCCACAUCUUUCAAUAUGUACAAAUACUUUUCUAAUGUCACCAAAAAGUAAAUAUAUUUUAGUUAGUUUCUUUAAAUUACUUCUAAUAUUAUGAAAAUGCAAUAUUUUUUAUUAGAUCACAUAAGUGUAUUAAAACUAAAAUCACAAUAUAGUUCUGGCAAUAUCUCCUGUGUUCUCUCAUACAUUUACUAUUACUGAUGUUAUGGUAUACUGAAACAAUUUUUUUUUUAUAUGAUAUAAAUAUUGUAGUCUACUUGUAAUAAUUCAGUCAAUUUAUAUCGUCACUCAUCUGCAUUUAUUACCUUAUUAUAAGUUACUAUGUAUUUUUCACUUUAUAUUUACGCACCUAUCGAUAAAAUUUGAUGAAAAUACGAGUAAGCAUAAAUAUUACAAUAAAUUAUUUCGUGGUGAACGUUCAAAAAUUUCUUUAUAGUUGCUAAACUUCAUAAUACUGCUGUACCUAUAUUUUUUACUUAAAAUAAUGUAAAUAUGAUGUACAAUUCUUUGAAUCAGUCAGUGCGACUAUGGUUUGUAACUAUUGUUCUAAGCUAUUCGACUGAUAUACAACGUAAAUAAUCUCAAUGUUACACGAAAUACAUAUUUCUUUAAUUGUCUGUAAUUUAGUGAUCGUGUUCAAGUCAAAAGAGAUUUUUAUUAAAUAAAUCAAAAAAUCA